GUGAGAUGGAGAUCAAGAGAGCAUCAGGUGGCGGACUGCUCGACGGCCCAGGCCGCUACCGUCCACCCUCUGAAGGUCACUUCAAGCUCUCCUUCGUCUAAUUUCAGGGGGAUGAAUGGACUGUACCCAACCCAUUGGAGCCCAGGCCAGACUCAGGUACCCAGGAAGAAGACUGCCGUCACUAAGGCAAGGACCAGUGUGUGGGCAUUAAUUAUAAGUAAUUAAUUUGUAUAGUAGCAAAUUGUAAUAGUUAAGGUAAAUUGAAUUAUAAUAAUGUAGAAUUUCUCUAUGGCUAAAGUUGAAGUGAAGGAGUUAUGAGGUAUUAUUGAAUUGAGUUUGAGGGUUAUUGAUCAAGAUCAAAAUAAUUUGUAAGGUCUAGAGAGUAAGUUUACAGUAACAUCAAGUUAGGUAAGACUAAAGAGUACAGUGAUAGUCUUAGCUAAAGUAAUUAUUUAGAUAUUGUAGGUUGAAUAUAAAGCCAGAUGCAAGUACAUUGUGAUAUGGCAGUCUCAAAUUAGAAACUGCUGCUUUGGAUUAUUCACAUCCUAUUAUUCACAAAAAUAGCUAAGAGUGAGAGCUUAAGAAUCUUUUUCUAAACUAUUUUUAAAAAGGUAGAUUUAUUUAUUUGAAGAUUAAUGGGGGAAGGCAUCAAUUAAAAAAGUAUACAACUUCACUUAAUAAUGGGUUCAAUAGAAAAGACUUCCAUGGGCCAAGAUAAGGGUAAAACCUUGUGGUGGGGUAAGGAGCAAGAUGAGAGGAUGGAAAGAUAGGAUGGUAACCCUUGUGUCAUGGAACACUCACUAGUGAAGGGGGAGGGGGAAGGGGGGUGGAUAUGGUCCUCGGAUGUCACAAUCUGUACUCCAAAGUCAGGUAACCCAAGACACGGUUGUGCUGGCGAGUGACUUGUGAGAUUGAUGUAUCAGAUGACUUUAAUGUGUGUUGAUGUGAUUUCAAAUUACUCCUUUCUCGUGGGAAUAGAUUGUAUUAGAAUAGAUAAGUUUAUUAGAGGCACUUCUCUUAGGAUUUAAGACUGGAUAGAUAUUUGUAAUAUAAACAUAACUGCUGUGAGAGUCAACAUAUUUGGAUGACCCUGGGAGGGAUUGUACUAAAUAUAUUAAAUUUGGCCACCUCAAUGAAGAUUACAAAACAAAAAAUGGCAUGCAUAUUUUUGUACAUUAGUAUUACUUGAAAUAGCCAUAAAAUAUUUAGUUUAAUAUAAAAGGUUAGUGUGUUAAAUCACAUUGUUAGAAGUGUGAUAAAGAGGAUGGAGUCUACUCAGCUUACUCACGAGAAGUGUGGUAAGAGACUAGGGGAGCUUAACAUUAAAAAGUAUAUAUAAAAAAGAUCCUUGGGGGAACUUUGUAUUGUGUCAGGAAUAAGGUUUGUGACCAUUUUCCCAGAAAGGCUGCUGCACACCUGGGGAAAAUCUUGCUCAUUUCACUACUGAAAAAUUGGAGAUGAAAUUUGUCUUAUUUGGGGAUUUUUUAUUUUGUUAAUGCUAAUGAACUUUUAUUGGUGAAGGCUUUUUUACCUUAGUAAUUAUUAUAAAUAGAUUUUAUAUAAUGUGUAUGUAUAUACAGUACAGUAUAAUCCAUUAUUGCAUUUCAUUUGGCCUUUAUAAAAAUACAGUAUUUUUCUUCAUGGAGGCCUUAAGUUAGCACAGUUAUGGUGUUUUCUCAGUGAGAGCACUGUAAAGGUACAGUUCUUGGGAUGUACAGUGCUUGGGAGGUACAGUGAGAAAGAGUUGUAGAAAGAUAUUUACAGCAAUUUACUUCCUGUGGAAGCAUUUGAGUUUGUUGUAGACAGGAGGUUCUUGAUUCAUAUUUUAAAAGAAUGAUUGAUUGGUUUCAACUUGAUAUUGCAGUAGUAAUGCCUGCAAAUUGCAUGUUCCUUAAACACAGUGGGUGGUUGAACAAGCAUACCCUCUACUUGAUAACAAAUCAGACUUCAUAUAACAAAAAUGGUAAAUAAUACUAAUGGCAGUAGUUACAGUAAGUAACAUAUAUACACACACACACACGCACGCGCGCAUGCAUACAUGCAUGUAGUGAAUAUGCUGAGAAUUUAUUUUUUAAGGAAACGUGAAGAUUUCCCACACUUACCCUAAUAUUUGCCAAUUCACUUCCAAGCACUCUUGAAAGCUAUACAAUUACCGGUAUAUAAAUACAGCAGCAAUAAAAAGAGUUCUGUAUUUUGCCAUUAUCAUCCUGCUAUUAAACUUGGCCAAAUAUAUAUACAGUACUGUAUCAGUAAUAGUAAUUAUAUUUUAAUUCAGCUGCAAGGGUUCAUUGUGUAAUUGUCUUUCAAUGUGUUGUCUCAUUAUAUUGAUUAGAAUAUCUAGUUAAAUGCAUAGGACAUGAUUUAUAUGUGAAGUAUUAUUUGAUACAAUUUUAACGAGUGAGGUUUUAAUGUCUCUCUGCGUAGAUUCUAAUACAGUACUGUACUGUAAUGAGUUUGUCAGUUUCUGUAAAUGGGUAAUGUAUGGGUUUUUGUAGUAUUUUAAUGUAGUUAUGAAUUUUGUAAAGUAAAUUUGAUGUUAGAAAUUUUUCCAUGUAACACAUUGUAAGUACUGUACAGUAUCAAGAUUUAUCAUUAGAAUGCUUAUUGAUAUUUAAUUGACCUCUGUAAAGUGUUCAGUGCAAUUUAUAUUUGUUUCCUGUAAGUGUCUUUAGAUCUUGGCAGUGAAGAUUUUUAUAGGACUUAGUGUGACUGCAAAAUUCUGGUAAAGCAAUGAUCAGACAAAAGGUAAGUUUAUUAGAUGACUUACACUGGUUCCAAAUACACAAAUUGUGUUAUGCUUACCACUGCAUUUUAUUGUGUGUAAUAAUCAGUAUACCAGUAUGUAUCAUGCUGCUGAUUCAGUGUAUCAAGAAAGUUUUCUACAUAAUGUUUAAAGCAGAAAAUAUUAAAAUAUCUAUUUUCUGCUACUGUAUGUCACUUUAAAUUAAUUUCAUAUGCAUGGGCUGGGUUAAUUUAUUUAUUUAUUUAUUGAUUAAGGUUACAGCAAUAUAUUUUUGUAUAAUAUUUACUGUUAAGAAAUGCUACACACCAUAGUUAAAACUUUACAAAAACAUUUAACGCGUGAGUUUGUUAGUGUGGAUUACUGAUUACCUACCUGUAAUGCAUAUGUAUAGGUUUGUGUGUUUGUGAAUACAGUACCAACAUGUUACUGUAUGCAUGUGUUAGUUUUCAUGUAUAUACUGUAACUACUGUACCUGUAAUAGCAAAGGACAUGAGUGGCUCUGAUAGAUUCAGGUAUCCUGUGGCUUGUGAAGGGUCCUCAUGUUUUGUCUAACAAUUAAUGUGGUGAAGUUUGAAUAUACCAUGCUACUACCAAAGAAUAUAAUGAACCACCCAGUGAAUAUACAGUAUGUAUAUAAUAUAGGUACUGUGGGUACAUAAAAUUGCUGAAUGAUACUAAUGACAUACGCACAUACAAUUACCUCCAUAAAAAUGGCCUCUAAGUAACAUUAUUAGACUUUUUUUUUUUUACUAUAAAGGCAACCAUAUAUUGCUGAGAAAUUAAGCCAUAUAGAAAGAAAGCCAAUUUAUUUUUUCACAACUUUGAUAUAUUUAUAUAUUAGAGGAAUUUACUGCAAUAUACUGAACUAAUAAUAAUGCCUAUAGUACCAUCAGCCUUCUAAAGAAGAGUGCCUAAUUUAAUAGUUAAACACAACAUUUGUGUAAGAGCUUGCUAUGUAGAUUUAGUUACAAAUCAAUGAAUAAAAAGAUUUUCCAUACUUGCCUAUUUUUCUGGAGUAAAAUGUUACAUCAAAUGAUUUGAAAUACGUACCCACAGUAUCCUCAGACCAGCCUCCCCUACAGACCUACCUAAUUCUAUUUUGUUUCAAGAGUUGUGGUUAGCCUCAUAACAAAGCCCUGGGCCCCACUUCUUACCCCCCUCCCCUUAUCCUGUCCCCCUUUUCCACACACAAACACACGCACAAAAAAUGUACAGCUGCACCAUGAACUAGCUACCCCCUAGCUGCCCAUGGAUCUUUAACUGUGUUGUAUAGAGCCAUCUUACAGGAUGUUUUGGGGGACAAGGUGGGUUAUUUUGGUCUAUGAUCAGAACCAAAUUUUGUUAUUAAUCUAAAAAAUAUUCAAGAGAUUAUAAAGUAUUUUGAAGUUUGCUUUUUCCUAUAGAUGUACAUAGUAUUUUAAGUUGUAUUAUUAAAUUGUUAUUUUACUGUGUAAAAAGUAAAAUUUUUAAAUUUUUGUCAUCUCCAUCAGUCUCUUUUACCCUAUUGAAUUUUUUUGUUAGUUUUCAACAUAUUUUUAGUUGUCACAAUCUACUGCAUUCUUGAACACAUUCUAACCUCUGCACUGCCUUCAUUCUCAAUAUUUUCUUCCUGUUCUUUUUUUCAUUUCAGGAUUUUAGCCAGUCUAAGCUCCUCCCCCUCUCAUUUUCCCUCCUACCCCUCUAUGAUCCUCCCCCUUCCAAGUUUUUUAUGAGAAUAAACCCAACCCCUUCCCGCCCCUAUGCACUUCAAGCUCCACCCAUACCACACAGGCUCCGCCUCCUUUGAUGCUAGGAAGUAGUUCAGAUCAUUUUCUUCCAUUUGCUGUGCAGCAGCAGUUGAUGGUGUGUGGAUGUGGAUGGAAAGGUGGUGUUGAUUCUUUUGAGGCUCUGCACACUCAACCUAUUUCGUUAUGAAUGGUGCAUGUAAUAGACCAUAUAGUAUAAGGAUAUAUCUUAAACAAAUAUUUAUUGUGCAAUAUUAUUUCCAUCUGAGUUUGUUUUUGAUUUGAUUCAUUUUUACUGAUAAGAGAACUCAUACUAUAAGCUGAAAUAAAUCUGAUUUGGCAUAUUUCUUAUUGGGUAGUAUAUCAUGUUGCUUUGAGGGAGACAUGAUGUGCUGAGGUUUAUUUUAAGUAAACUAAUAAUUUAGGAGAUUUCAGAUUCUUCAAAAAGAUGCCAUAUUUUUAUUGAUAAUCAAAUUUAGAAGGCUGAUUAAUAAGUUGUGCAAGUUUUGUCAGAAUUCUACAUAUAGGUAUGCUCAAGUUGUAAUUUCUUAUGGAAAUUAUCAUUAGCAUUGCUUUAUAAAUGUGUUUAAAAAAAUUGUAACAUUUAUUUUAAAAUUCAUAAUUUUUGUUCACAGCACAUUUGAGAUGACAAUGGUUUCUGCAUAACUACUUACACUUUGCAUAUGUGUGUGAACUUGCUUUGUAAGUGAACACAUAUUUCUUUAUUUUGAGGAAAUACAGAGUCUGAAUUCUGAUAACACAUUAUUGUUUUAAAUUUAGUUGUUAACAUCAAGGACAUAUGAAACUGUUGAUUACUGUCCAAUCAAAUACAAGAGAAUAAUC
rnacentral:lncRNA from 1 species